CUCGCGCAUGACAGGUGUUCGACUUGAGUCGGCUGUGUUCUGGUUAGAUAUCAAGAGAAAUCUAAACAGAGCACAGCAGGCCGGUUGUUCUGAGAUUAUACUGUCACAACUUGAUCUAGAUAAUACUAGCGAAAGGACAUGCGCUGCAUUGAUU
rnacentral:ncRNA from 1 species